GACGAACGCUGGCGGCGUGCUUAACACAUGCAAGUCGAACGCUGAAGCUCAGCUUUUGUUGGGUGGAUGAGUGGCGAACGGGUGAGUAACACGUGAGUAACCUGCCCCCUUCUUUGGGAUAACGCCCGGAAACGGGUGCUAAUACUGGAUAUUCACUGGUCUUCGCAUGGGGGUUGGUGGAAAGGGUUUUUCUGGGGGGGGAUGGGCUCGCGGCCUAUCAGCUUGUUGGUGGGGUGAUGGCCUACCAAGGCUUUGACGGGUAGCCGGCCUGAGAGGGUGACCGGUCACAUUGGGACUGAGAUACGGCCCAGACUCCUGCGGGAGGCAGCAGUGGGGAAUAUUGCACAAUGGGCGCAAGCCUGAUGCAGCGACGCCGCGUGAGGGAUGGAGGCCUUGGGGUUGUGAACCUCUUUCGCUCAUGGUCAAGCCGCAACAAUGGUUGUGGUGAGGGUAGUGGGUAAAGAAGCGCCGGCUAACUACGUG
rnacentral:rRNA from 1 species